UGAGUAACCUGCCCUUAACUCUGGGAUAAGCCUGGGAAACUGGGUCUAAUACCGGAUAUGACUCCUCAUCGCAUGGUGGGGGGUGGAAAGCUUUUGUGGUUUUGGAUGGACUCGCGGCCUAUCAGCUUGUUGGUGAGGUAAUGGCUUACCAAGGCGACGACGGGUAGCCGGCCUGAGAGGGUGACCGGCCACACUGGGACUGAGACACGGCCCAGACUCCUACGGGAGGCAG
rnacentral:rRNA from 1 species